rnacentral:rRNA from 1 species
UACGUAGGGUGCGAGCGUUAAUCGGAAUUACUGGGCGUAAAGCGUGCGCAGGCGGUUCGUUAAGUCAGAUGUGAAAGCCCCGGGCUCAACCUGGGAACUGCAUUUGAAACUGGCGGGCUUGAGUAUGGCAGAGGGGGUGGAAUUCCGCGUGUAGCAGUGAAAUGCGUAGAGAUGCGGAGGAACACCGAUGGCGAAGGCGGCUUUCUGGUCUGUAACUGACGCUGAGGCGCGAAAGCGUGGGAGCAAACAGG